GGACCCAUAGCUCAGCUGGAUAGAGCGCUGCCCUCCGAAGGCAGAGGUCAGAGGUUCGAAUCCUCUUGGGUCCG
rnacentral:tRNA from 1 species